rnacentral:rRNA from 1 species
UACGGGGGGGGCAAGCGUUGUUCGGAAUUACUGGGCGUAAAGGGCGCGUAGGCGGCCUUCUAAGUCAGACGUGAAAUCCCUCGGCUCAACCGAGGAACUGCGUCUGAUACUGGAAGGCUUGAAUCCGGGAGAGGGAUGUGGAAUUCCAGGUGUAGCGGUGAAAUGCGUAGAUAUCUGGAGGAACACCGGUGGCGAAGGCGGCAUCCUGGACCAAUUCUGACACUGAGGAGCGAAAGCCAGGGGAGCAAACGGG